ACAGGAUUAGAUACCCUGGUAGUCCACGCCGUAAACGAUGUCGACUUGGAGGCUGUUCCCCUGAGGAGUGGCUUCCGGAGCUAACGCGUUAAGUCGACCGCCUGGGGAGCACGGCCGCAAGGUUAAAACUCAAAUGAAUUGACGGGGGCCCGCACAAGCGGUGGAGCAUGUGGUUUAAUUCGAUGCAACGCGAAGAACCUUACCUACUCUUGACAUCCAGAGAACUUUCCAGAGAUGGAUUGGUGCCUUCGGGAACUCUGAGACAGGUGCUGCAUGGCUGUCGUCAGCUCGUGUUGUGAAAUGUUGGGUUAAGUCCCGCAACGAGCGCAACCCUUAUCCUUUGUUGCCAGCGAUUCGGUCGGGAACUCAAAGGAGAUUGCCGGUGAUAAACCGGAGGAAGGUGGGGAUGACGUCAAGUCAUCAUGGCCCUUACGAGUAGGGCUACACACGUGCUACAAUGGCGCAUACAAAGAGCAGCGACCUCGCGAGAGCAAGCGGACCUCAUAAAGUGCGUCGUAGUCCGGAUCGGAGUCUGCAACUCGACUCCGUGAAGUCGGAAUCGCUAGUAAUCGUGGAUCAGAAUGCCACGGUGAAUACGUUCCCGGGCCUUGUACACACCGCCCGUCACACCAUGGGAGUGGGUUGCAAAAGAAGUAGGUAGCUUAACCUUCGGGAGGGCGCUUACCACUUUGUGAUUCAUGACUGGGGUGAAGUCGUAACAAGGUA
rnacentral:rRNA from 1 species